GGCUAUAUCAUUUUGAAACACUGGUUCUCACCCAAUUACUGAAGUUAAGCAAGCCAAGCUUGAUCAGUACUUAGAUGGGUGACUCCUUGGGAAUACCAGUGCUGUAAG